CACGUAGGGCGCGAGCGUUGUCCGGAAUUAUUGGGCGUAAAGAGCUCGUAGGCGGUCAGUCGCGUCUGCUGUGAAAACUCGGGGCUUAACUCCGGGCCUGCAGUGGGUACGGGCUGACUAGAGUGCGGUAGGGGAGACUGGAAUUCCUGGUGUAGCGGUGAAAUGCGCAGAUAUCAGGAGGAACACCGGUGGCGAAGGCGGGUCUCUGGGCCGUAACUGACGCUGAGGAGCGAAAGCGUGGGGAGCGAACAGG
rnacentral:rRNA from 1 species